rnacentral:rRNA from 1 species
AUUGAACGCUGGCGGCAGGCUUAACACAUGCAAGUCGAGCGGGGGGAGGUAGCUUGCUACCGGACCUAGCGGCGGACGGGUGAGUAAUGCUUAGGAAUCUGCCUAUUAGUGGGGGACAACAUCUCGAAAGGGAUGCUAAUACCGCAUACGUCCUACGGGAGAAAGCAGGGGAUCUUCGGACCUUGCGCUAAUAGAUGAGCCUAAGUCGGAUUAGCUAGUUGGUGGGGUAAAGGCCUACCAAGGCGACGAUCUGUAGCGGGUCUGAGAGGAUGAUCCGCCACACUGGGACUGAGACACGGCCCAGACUCCUACGGGAGGCUGCAGUGGGGAAUAUUGGACAAUGGGGGGAACCCUGAUCCAGCCAUGCCGCGUGUGUGAAGAAGGCCUUAUGGUUGUAAAGCACUUUAAGCGAGGAGGAGGCUACUUUAGUUAAUACCUAGAGAUAGUGGACGUUACUCGCAGAAUAAGCACCGGCUAACUCUGUGCCAGCAGCCGCCGCCG